GUGACCUCAAAUCAGGUAGGACUACCCGCUGAACUUAAGCAUAUCAAUAAGCGGAGGAAAAGAAACUAACAAGGAUUCCCCUAGUAACUGCGAGUGAAGCGGGAAAAGCUCAAAUUUAAAAUCUGUCAGUCUUUGGCUGUCCGAGUUGUAAUCUAGAGAAGCGUCGUCCGUGCUGGACCGUGUACAAGUCUCCUGGAAUGGAGCGUCAUAGAGGGUGAGAAUCCCGUCUUUGACACGGACUGCCAGGGCUUUGUGAUGCGCUCUCAAAGAGUCGAGUUGUUUGGGAAUGCAGCUCAAAAUGGGUGGUAAAUUCCAUCUAAAGCUAAAUAUUGGCGAGAGACCGAUAGCGAACAAGUACCGUGAGGGAAAGAUGAAAAGAACUUUGGAAAGAGAGUUAAACAGUACGUGAAAUUGCUGAAAGGGAAACGCUUGAAGUCAGUCAUGUUGUCCAGGGAUCAACCUUGCUUUUGCUUGGUGUACUUUCUGGUUGACGGGUCAGCAUCAAUUUUGACUAUUGGAAAAAGAUUGAGGGAAUGUGGCAUCUUUGGAUGUGUUAUAGCCCUUGGUUGCAUACAAUGGUUGAGAUUGAGGAACUCAGCAUGCCGCAAGGCCGGGUUUUUUUAACCACGUACGUGCUUAGGAUGCUGGCAUAAUGGCUUUAAUCGACCC
rnacentral:rRNA from 1 species